CGAGCUCUUGGUACGGGCGGCUGCAGGCAGGGCAUGGUUGCAUCAUCGAUGACAAGGCAGGCGAGGCCCAACUGUAGCCUUGGUGCUGCAUCUCGUAUGUACAUGUGCAGUAUGAGCAGUAGACCAUGGACUUGUAGGUAUAUGGAAGAAGACAAAUUGUAGAGUUGUCUUUGAGAUCUGAAUGUUGACGUCAAGUAGCAAAGCAAGCCUACAGUUCUGGAGUUGGAUACCAGAACUGUGACUGCAGUUGUAAAUAAAAUGCCUGGAGCUUCAGAAGAAGUUGGGAUCUACAAAAAUAGAAAAAAAUCUGAAGGCAUAACAUAAUCCAUAGCUUAGCAGUUCUUGAUGAACUAGGAAUAAUGAUGUUUUGUUUGGACAGUAUCCCAGGAACUUACCAACUAGUUGUAAGAGAAAUGUUGUAAACUCUGAUAUUGUAAAAUAUACAAUGUAGUUAUGUUCUUGAUAUUUUAAAGGAUUGUAAACCUUGGCCUAACAAC